rnacentral:rRNA from 1 species
GAUGAACGCUGGCGGCGUGCCUAAUACAUGCAAGUCGAGCGAACAGAUGAGGAGCUUGCUCCUCUGACGUUAGCGGCGGACGGGUGAGUAACACGUGGAUAACCUACCUAUAAGACUGGGAUAACUUCGGGAAACCGGAGCUAAUACCGGAUAAUAUAUUGAACCGCAUGGUUCAAUAGUGAAAGACGGUUUUGCUGUCACUUAUAGAUGGAUCCGCGCCGCAUUAGCUAGUUGGUAAGGUAACGGCUUACCAAGGCAACGAUGCGUAGCCGACCUGAGAGGGUGAUCGGCCACACUGGAACUGAGACACGGUCCAGACUCCUACGGGAGGCACCAGUAGGGAAUCUUACGCAAUGGGCGAAAGCCUGACGGAGCAACGCCGCGUGAGUGAUGAAGGUCUUCGGAUUGUAAAACUCUGUUAUUAGGGAAGAACAAAUGUGUAAGUAACUAUGAACGUCUUGAAGGUACCUAAUCAGAAAGCAACGGCUAACUACGUG